AUUCCAUGAUGGGGACAUUCUAGGAUGUAGUCUUGAAAGCGCUCCCAUGCUUCUGGAACAGAUUCAUCAUUUUGUUGCUGAAAACUUGUUAUCUUCCCACGGAGAGC
rfam:Sorghum bicolor cultivar BTx623 chromosome 1, whole genome shotgun sequence.